AUGGAAGUGAUGAAUUUUUCCCCAGAUGAUUUGACGUUGAAAUAACUGAGCGCUCUUAUAUUUUUUCCUUCUCUGGAGAAAAUUCAAGCCAAUAUUCUAAUCCAU